UCUUAUGGAUGACUAAAGACAGUGGUUUUUUGAGAUGGAAUCUAGUCCUGAUGAAGAUGCUGUGAA
rnacentral:pre_miRNA from 1 species